UAAUACGGAGGGUGCAAGCGCUUGUUCGGACAUUAUUGGGCGUAAAGCGCGUGUAGGCGGUCUUUUAAGUCUGAUGUGACAAGCCCCGGGCUCAACCUGGGAAGUGCAUUGGAAACUGGGAGGCUUGAGUACGGGAGAGGAGAGUGGAAUUCCUAUGUGUAGGAGUGACAAUCCGUAGAUAUUAGGAGGAACACCGGUGGCGAAGGCGGCUCUCUGGACCGAUAACUGACGCUGACACGCGAAAGCGUGGGUAGCGAAACAGGAUUAGAUACCCUGGUAGUCCACGCCGUAAACGAUGAGUACUAGGUGUUGCGGGUAUUGACCCCUGCAGUGCCGUAGCUCAACGCAUUAAGUAUCUCCGCGCUGGG
rnacentral:rRNA from 1 species